GAAUUUACCUUGUACUGGGGUAUCGUUGAUCCCCGAGGACGAGCCCCCAGGGCGAGGCAGAUGCAUUGCACUGCGCACGCGUUGACACCUUUCAUUGCCCCAAACAGCGGCACAUGCGGCACGCAAAUUUUUUUCAAUC
rnacentral:snRNA from 1 species